CGUACCCAUCCCGAACACGACCGUUAAGCCCUCCAGCGCCGAUGGUACUUGGACCGAAGGGUCCUGGGAGAGUAGGACGCCGCCAAGC
rnacentral:rRNA from 2 species